UUAAAGCUUCUGCUGCCCUGGCCCUGUCUGACAUCCCCUGGCAUGGACCAGUGGGUGCUGUGCGUGUGGGUCUGGUAAAUGGAGAGUUGCUGGUCAACCCCACGAGGGCAGAGAUGGCUUCUAGCAGUCUUAACCUGAUAGUGGCUGGAGCUCCCAGCAGUCAAGUGGUGAUGAUUGAGGCAUCAGCUGAAAACGUGCUGCAGCAGGACUUCUGCCACGCUGUGAAGGUGGGAGUCAAACACAC